rnacentral:rRNA from 1 species
UACGUAGGGCGCAAGCGUUGUCCGGAAUUAUUGGGCGUAAAGAGCUCGUAGGCGGCUUGUCACGUCGGGUGUGAAAGCCCGGGGCUUAACCCCGGGUCUGCAUUCGAUACGGGCUAGCUAGAGUGUGGUAGGGGAGAGCGGAAUUCCUGGUGUAGCGGUGAAAUGCGCAGAUAUCAGGAGGAACACCGGUGGCGAAGGCGGAUCUCUGGGCCAUUACUGACGCUGAGGAGCGAAAGCGUGGGGAGCAAACAGG